GUUCGAACUAAUUUGACAUCUCUUCGGGUAAACAGAGGAGCACAUGUGUAUCCAGAGACUAUCUAAAAAGGGAAGAUUAACGAAUUAAUGCGAAGUCAUGAUGAGCAUAUACAAUACAACGGAAAAACAGGUUGUGGAAGCUUUGGAAAAUUAUCUCAAAUGGGCCCCGGAGAAAGGAUUGUGGCCGUAGAAAAUGACAUUAUGCCGACUCUUAAUGAUGGAACUUUCAUUUAUACAUGUAGCUUAUCUGAGCCCAUGGGCCUCUUCUUAAUGAUAAAAUAAAUAUUUCAUGAAGAUUUUGAUAACAGAUUAGAUUAAACCAAUUUAAAUGUA